GUCUCCGUGGUUUAGUCGGGAUAACAUCCGACUAUGGUGCGGUAGAACUCGGGUUCGAACCCCGCUGAAAACA